rnacentral:rRNA from 1 species
GCCGCCUGACUGGCACUUGGAGAGUGGCAAGUCUUCCAGUAUGGGGAGCAAAACAGCUAUGGGUCAAGUCCGAUAUCUUUAGGAGAAGUCUUAUUGUGAGGGCGAGUUAUAUAACACCAUAGGACUGGCCGUCCCAUAUGAAAAGAUUAUAUUAGAAUUGAAUGAAGCUUUGUUUAUAUAUUGAUAAUGACAGUAUAUAUAUCGUGUCUUGACUAAUUGCGUGCCAGCAGUCGCGGUAAUACGUAAGAGACUAGUGUUAUUCAUCUUAAUUAGGUUUAAAGGGUACCCAGACGGUCAAUAUAGCUUAUAAAAUGUUAGUACUUGACUAGAGUUUUAUGUAAGAGGGCAGUACUUGAGGAGGAGAGAUGAAAUUUCGUGAUACCAAAGGGACUCUGUAAAGGCGAAGGCAGCCCUCUAUGUAAAAACUGACGUUGAAGGACGAAGGCACAGAGAACAAACAGGAUUAGAUACCCAAGUAGUCUUUGCAGUAAAUGAUGAAUGCCAUAGGUUAGAUUGAUCAAUUAUAGUCUAGGGUUAGUCUAGCAAACUAAUGCCCUAUGAUAUAAUUCAAAAUAUCUGGUCUAUAAAUGAAAGUGUAAGCAUUUCACCUCAAGAGUAAUGUGGCAACGCAGGAACUGAAAUCACUAGACCGUUUCUGACACCAGUAGUGAAGUAUGUUAUUUAAUUCAAUAUAAUCCGCAA